rnacentral:rRNA from 1 species
UACGUAGGGGCCUAGCGUUGUUCGGAAUUACUGGGCGUAAAGGGCUCGUAGGCGGCCAACUAAGUCGGAUGUGAAAUCCCCAGGCUCAACCUGGGAACUGCAUCCGAUACUGGAUGGCUUGAAUUCGGGAGAGGGAUGCAGAAUUCCAGGUGUAGCGGUGAAAUGCGUAGAUAUCUGGAGGAAUACCGGUGGCGAAGGCGGAUCUCUGGGCCAUUACUGACGCUGAGGAGCGAAAGCGUGGGGAGCGAACAGG